rnacentral:miRNA from 1 species
UGCGAGACCAUGGUAUGUGGA